UACGUAGGAGACGAGCGUUAUCCGGAUUUACUGGGUGUAAAGCGCAUGUAGGCGGGUUCUCAAGUCGGGCAUGAAAUCUUUCGGCUUAACCGGGAGGGGUGGUCCGAUACUAGGAGCCUCGAGGGCAGGAGAGGGAAGCGGAAUUCCCGGUGUAGUGGUGGAAUACGUAGAUAUCGGGAGGAACACCAGUGGCGAAGGCGGCUUCCUGGCCUGUGCCUGACGCUGAGAUGCGAAAGCGUGGGUAGCAAACGGGAUUAGAUACCCCUGUAGUCC
rnacentral:rRNA from 1 species